CUUCAGACUUAAAACCAGGUUCCUGGAUCCUCUUCUCUCUCUAGCCUCCUGCAUGCUCUGCAAUGGUUGUCAGCUUUGGGUGCAUAUUGAGAUCUCUGGAAGAGCUGAUAAAACGCUGAUGCCUGGCUCCCACUUCAGACAUUCAGAGGCAGAAUGGCAAUCAACACAUUCCUAGAGAGUAUUAAUGGCAACAUGAAUAGUAUUUCCAGGUUGUGCAGAAGUCCUACCUUAAGCUGAUGAUUGGCAUUUGGCAUUUCAAGCCAUCCUGAGGAUUUAGGGACAUCUCUGAAGGUUCCUCCUGCUCUGAACACUACUUCCUGGGAAACCUGCACACUUACGAUCGGCACAGAUGUUUGGUUCAGCAAAUUCCAGGAGUGAACAGCCCUGAUUAUUAGAGCCAUCAGCUCUCCCUGUGACAGCAGUAAGACUAGAACAAAUGAAAUGCCUAAUGAGAAAUAAUCCUGCAGUAUUUGAGGGCUAAGAAACCAAGGCUUAGAAGUCUUAAGUACAAUGAGCUCAAGAUCACACAACAGCCAAGCUAUAAAGCCAAGUUUUUAUUUGGGACUGUAUUCCCAAGCUUUCACACCUGGCCCCUCUACCACGCUGCCUCACCACCUCCUGGAAUUUGAAGCGCCGGCGCUGACCCGGAGCUGACGGCCCUGGUUCAGAGGAGCGAGAAGACCCACGUCCUUCCCAGUCACUUCAGCUGUGACGCAGAAGCCACACGGGUGAGACAGAAUGCACGAGGGGGAGGCCCAGAUACUGGCCUUCCUACCGGCUUCCCACCUGACAACAGAAUUCAGGGCUGUGGCAGCUCAUAUGUAAGUAAAAUUAAGCCAGGUAACCCUCUUUUCCUUCAGGUUCACCGUCUGUAAAGUGGCAACCCAGAGGGGAAGAUAUGCCUUGCUAUUGAAAAAAUAAAAGAUUCAGACUAAUAUGAAUUUUCACAACAGAAAAAUGGGGCUUUGAGCCUUCAGAAGACCGUCUGUACUAACAAAGAUCAUCCGAGGCUGUCUAUAAGGGUGCGUGUGUGUGUGUGUGUGUGUGUGUGUGUGUGUGUGUGUGUGCCUGCCUGUGUGCACAUGCACACACACGCAAUUUCUGAUAUUUGACUAGCAACUUUCAGAAAAGCACCAGUUACCAGAUGUGCCUUCAUUUUGCACUGCAUGUAUUAGCUCUUCUCUAGUUCAGAGAUUUUGCCAUACUUUCUGGUAAAAGAGGAGGAGUCUCGGGAUGAUUUUGUGGGUUAUGUCACAGAGGGGCUCCAGGAAAGAAUAUAAGUUUUCUGUAGAUUUCUUAGUCACAAAAGAAGUCUUAUUUCCUUCUUCCCCAAGUUCCAUGCUCAGGGAGGGUCGUGCAUGUAGGGGAGAGAGUCAGGCCCAGCGUGGUGGACAUUGUUGCAAGAAGAGUCUAGCCAUGUGGACUAUUAAUAAAAUUGCAUGUUUAUAGAAAAUUAGGCAACUUAAAAGCCGAGCUAUGUUUUCUUUUCAAACACCUUCUUGGUUGUUUAGAAUAGAAUUGUUAAGUGUGUGAGUUGAUUCUUUAGUCUCCAGUGUUCACAGCUCCCACUCACGUCUUUGAAAAUUCUUUUAUGACAUGUACUUACAGUAGUCAAAUUGCAAAAGUUGAAUGAUGUACAUUAAGAAAAAAUGGACCCCUGUGGCUGUUUGUGCUUUUGUCAUCCUGUCAGGAGUCAGGAAUCCUGGAGGGAGGGACCUGCAUUGCUCAUGUAGUCCUGAGCUUGCAGAAAUAAUACAUGGCACAGAGUGUUAGAUAUCAUAAAGCACCCCCCUUAAUGCGAUCUGCAGAACAGCCCCCCACCCUGCCUUGCAGUGCUUCCCACACACACCUGCAACUGCCAUGGCCCUGUGUCCCUUUACCUGUGUGGUAGCACUGUGGAGGCCCGUGUAAUUGCACUGUGACCUCUACCUCUCAUUGCUCUCUUCCCCUGACCUCAUCCCACCCCCAGGCCAGUGUUUUUGGAACCGCAGAGCUGCUAGCAGAGAGGAACAGACCUGAACAGCCAGGACCUGUCCAGACCUCCUGUGCGGUCUGAGAAGUAUCCAUAGGGAAAAUUUGGCCUCACAGCCUCCGUGGUAAACUUACGCAACAGAGCAGGGAAGCACCACAGUGAGGGACCCAGAGGAAAACGGCAAUUUGUGAAAGUGGAAAGAUAUCCAGGUGUAGACUUCCCACAUUUAAAGAUAUUCAGUGAUGCAGUUAUAAGCAUCGUGUCUCAAUCUGUAGAUGCUGAAGAUCCAAGUGGGCAGAAUGUGUGAAUUCAAGGUCUUGUGCAACCUGCAUCCAAGCCCCAUCGAGUUAUCUGGCUUUAGCAUUCAGUGCAGCGAGCUCUGCUGGGAGGAAGGAACGACUGGGAAUGGAAUUGGGAAGCAAUAGAUUUGAGUUAGGUUUUUCCACUUACUAAGUCUGGGCAGCUCACAUCCCCUUCUGACCCUCAAUGUCCACAUAAGGAAAAUGGGUGUUUUAAUGUUUCUUUUACUGGCCUGCUGUGAGGCACAAAUAAAAUCAAGUGGAAAUUACUUUGUAAGCUAUAAACUAGCUUGUUCUGUUUAAAACCUCUCUCUUUUCCAAAGAGGCUUAGAUGUCUUGUUAAUAAUUGGUGUCAUUAAAAACCAGUUCAUUGUUAAUAUUUUCCAUUGACCUGUAUUAACGUAAUAAUGCAGAAUUGCUUUAUGUAUAAUGAAAAAAAUGAACCUACUUGAAGUAGCUGUAAGAUUUUGAACCUAUGGUGCGACUUCAGACAGCUGACCACGGAGAGGGUUAGCUGAAGCUGAGCUCUCUUCCUAUCACAAUCAGAGUUAAGCCUUUUUGUCUGUAAAACAGCUGAUUUCUUCACAUGAAUGCUAAUUUCUCUUAGACCAAGACAACUAGUUCUCCACCAGUCAUGAUUUAAAUGUAGCACAAAAUAUAGCACAUGGCGUGAGUAAUAUGCUAACAUAAAAUGUCCUCUGCUGCACAGGUAUGCAUGCUAUAAAUUCAGUUGCAAUAUUUCUAGGCACUGCUGCUCUGUGAUCACGGCCUUCUCUCCAUUCAUUCUCUCCCUCAUUAGCAUUUGUUUUCUUUCUUCUGCUAUUCCUCCCUGGCCCUUCCCCUGCCUUUUUGUCUUCCUAAGACCAAUAAAUACAAUUGAUCACAUUCAAUUAGACAGACUGCUUUAGUCAGUGUAUCACACCAAACUAAUACACUUUGGUUGAACCCCUUGCUCUUGAAAUACUCAUCUCCAAAAAGGAGCGGCUUUAAUGAUGGGCCUGGAAUAUACCAUUAGGCCAUGUACUGUAGAGGGAGAGGUACAUACUGGCACAUUUGGGAAAAAAGCAAAUACCAUAUUAAGAAAAAAAUGAGGCAAUUGCUGUUUUCCAUCCAAUACACUCUGAGUUGAACUAGAAAGGACAGGACGACUGUUUGACAUACGAGAAACAUGUCCAGGUAACCUAGCAAACAAGACGUGCUGGAGUUAUAAACUGGUUCAGUGGCCUUUGAUGAGAAUUAAAAUGCUACACAUCGCUCUAAUUGAAUAUUUUUCAUUUUGUCUUCUUAGUCUGAUAAAUCUGUGAGAACACAGAGGUAUUAUGUAACUUACAUCUUUACCCUUAUUACUAUUGUGACUCUCUGAGUUUCCCCAUUAAUUUUCUCCACAUGCUCAAGUUGUCAGAGUAUGAAUAAGAGAAAUGUCUUAAUGAUAUGAUUUAUUGUCACAGCACAGAAUGUUCAGAAGUAGAUAGCAAAGACCUUUUAUAUUUUUUUCUGUUUUCAUGACCAAGCUUUCAGAAAAAUAAAUGUGAACAACUGAAAUUACUUUUCCUAGGACUAGGAAACCUCAGUUGUCAUUUAGUUGCUUCUACCUUUCUACCUUUGAAAUAAUAUAUAUGCCAUCUGUCCUCCAAAAAUACAGAACUGGAGCACAAAUUUGAUUGUUAUAUUGCUUGGGACCCAGUCUCAACAUCUAAGGGUUUUUCAUAUUCUUGUCAUAUCCUUGAAUUCAAUUAAAAAAAUGGAAUCAUCACUCUUAAAAAGAAACAUAGUAGAAUCUUCACUUUGGUUGUUAGUUUACCUUUUUGCUCCUGCAAAAACUGCCAUGAAGUAUAUUAUCAAGUAGAUUAUAGUUUGGGGAUCCUUUCUAAUCUCCAUUUCCCAUUAAUAGCAUACAUAUACACUUUAGUAGAAAACAUUUAUUCACUUUGACUUAAAAUAAAAGCAGAUUCCAUUAUUUAUGGUGAAUUGUUUUUGACCUGACUAAUGGAAGUAUAUAUAGUAUAUAUAUCAUCAGCUAAUAUAGACAAGUGUUAACAGAAAUAUUAAGUUCAUAAAGAAUAUUUCAUUAUAUCUGUACAUAGUCCUUUAUUUAAUAUGGAAAUCUGUGUUCUUUUGUCAGGUUGGUCAUAUAGCAUAUAUUGAACAAAUAAAAUGAUUGAUACUUAGAGUUUUAGAUAUAUUUUCCUAGUGAAGAUUGCUUAUAUCCUCGAGGCUAGGAACUGUGCCUUAAUCAUUCGUAUUUAUCUGGGACCUGGAAAAAUACCUAGCUCAAUUAGUUUCCAGUAACUGCUGAAGGGUGACAUGGGCUCUGCUUGACCUCUCAUCCUCCCCUGCCCUUCUGCUCCAGCCUCUGUCCUCUUCCUGAUCUCUAGGAAACCUGUGAUUGGACCUCUCUAGCAUUCCUCUUGUCCUCUCCCAGCACCUCCCACAGCCCAUUUGCUGCUGGCUCAAACUUGCCUCAGGGGUCUGAAACGGCCCACGCCUGCCUGGCCCUGGCUGUCUGUCCUGACUCUGAGUCACCAGCAGCUCCACUCUGGGAAUGAGGCUGGUGCUGCUAUGCCUGGAGAAGCAGCAGCAUGUCUGAGAAACCAGGGUCCCAAGAAUCUUUGCUCAUGGAAGUUCUGUGGCUUGUAGGGCUGCACACUGAAGAUCUUGCAUUCAGUCUUAGCUGAGCAUCCCCCACACAGAGAACAGCACACCUCAUUAAAGGGCAACCCAUUAUUCAGAGAAAUUCUUCAUACACUGACAAGGUUAUAAAGCAUCUUGUGUUAUGUGAAAAGUGUUUAUGAGCUCCACAAAGGCCACAUCUACUUCCUUCUCAGAUCAGACUCUGCUGUUCAGAUGCUCCUUGUGUCUGGCAGAUCAGUUCUCAAAUUUUCAUCGCAUCAAAAUUAACUUUAAAACACUUACAUUCACCUUUCCUUCACCUUUUUAAUCUCUUCAGGCCCUCAACCCACUGAAUGAUGUCCAUCCACACUGGCGAAGUUGAUCUUUUCUCAGUCUAUGAAUCCAAAUGCUAAUCUCUUCCUGAGACACCCUCAGAGACACACCCAGAAAUGUUUAACCAGCUGUCUGAUACCCCUUAGCCUAAUCAAGCUGACACAUACCACCUAAAAGUCUGUGACUCCCAGAUUUAUAGCUUUGGUCCAGACCUCCUUUCUGAGUCUCAAACUUUCAUUCUAUUUCCCCGACCAUCAUCUCUGUUUACAUAUUCCAUGCUGAUGACCCCAAACAGAGUUCAGCAUCCUCUGCAAACACCCUAUGCAUUGCCUUCAUGAAUCUUCUUCUGAAUUUUUUUGUCUUAUAAAUGACAUGCUCUUAACUCAGCUGUCCAAGUCAAGAUGACUGUAUCAUCCCAGGUCACUCUUUUUCCUUUAAAGACCACAUCUUGUUAAUCCCUGUGUUCCACCAACCAUGCUUCCUAAAUAAUUCUCAUUUUAGGCCCCCAUCUCUCUUACCACCAUCACCCAUACAGUGCAUGACCUUGGAUCAUUUGCCCCUCGGUCAUAAUAGACCAUUUUCUGAUUGCCCCACUUUUAGGCUUUCCUCACUACCCAGCAUAAACUGCUGAAGUAACAUUUCUAGCAUGAAAAUGUGAUCCCUCCCUCUACAACUCAAAAUUCUGCAGUGGCUUCUAAUUGUCUUCAGAUAAAAUCAGGAGUAUUUUGCUUGACAACAUCUCUCAUGAUCAGGCCCUGUCCUACCUCUACUUUUUGUCUUGUAUCUUCAGCUCCUCUCCCCACUUAGCACUUUGUGUUCUGGGAAUAUUGAGCUAUUUUUAGUUUCCCCUGAACACUCAUGGUCUGCAUACUGCCCGAUCUGGGCAAUGCUGUUUCUUGCCUGCCAUGUCCUUCACAUUUGUCUGCCCAUUUUUCAAGGCUGUUAGACAAUACCUUUAUGUGGCACUUACCUUUUUUCCCCCCACUAGAAUCACAUGCUUCCAUUGUACUUAUUUCUUCAUAAAUGGAAGGAUCACAUUUAUCUCUAUUAGGUUGUAACCUUCUUAUAGGCAAGAUUUUGUGUUUCCACCAAUGUAUUUGCAUCACGUUACAAGUGUCUAAUGCAUAGUCAGAACCCAAUAAAUAUUUUUUAAAGCAACGAAUAA